rnacentral:rRNA from 1 species
CCUACGGGAGGCAGCAGUGGGGAAUAUUGGGCAAUGGACGCAAGUCUGACCCAGCAACGCCGCGUGAAGGAAGAAGGCUUUCGGGUUGUAAACUUCUUUUAAGGGGGAAGAGGAGAAGACGGUACCCCUGGAAUAAGCCACGGCUAACUACGGGCCAGCAGCCGCGGUAAUACGGAGGGGGCAAGCGUUGUCCGGAUUUACGGGGGGGAAAGGGAGGGUCGGCCGGAUGUCAAGCGUGCUGGGAAAUGUCCGGGCGCAACCCGGGCCUUGCCGCGCGAACUGGCGUGCUUGAGUCCGCGGCAAGCAGGCGGAAUUCGUCGUGUAGCGGUGAACUGCUUAGAUCUGACGCAGAACCCCGAUUGCGAAGGCAGCUUGCUGCAGCGGAACUGCCGCUGAUGCUCGAAAGCGCGGGUAUCGAACAGGAUUAGAUACCCGAGUAGUC